ensembl:lncRNA
CUGAUGUCACAAGCAAACCAUGAAAUAUCACUGAGGCUGUGACAGGCCGGAAGAGAGGCCUAGCCUUGCCUUCUGCAGAGCACAAACAGCCUAGUGUGUUGCUGUAGAGGCUGCUUGAGAGGGUGAGGGACUGGCCUCCUGCCUGGGAUGUUCUCCAGCCUCUGUCUGCCCCCUAGUGGAAAGGCUGGGGAAUGUGUGGGAGUUCACCGAGAAUGUCUUAGUGAAACCUGAACUAAGAAUCCCGAAACCCUGCCAUCUGCAGUUCUUGUUUCCCAGCAUCGUCUUUUCUUUUCUCAGAGAAUCAGAAUGCUCCCCCUCUGAAUCUUCUGCAGCCUCCCUAGGAUGAAUACCUCCAUUUUAGUGUGUUUUUCUGAAGCCCUCAGUCGGCCUCAGACAGCCCUGAUCCCCACACCACAGCACUUUCUCCUGUACAGUCAGCAACAGACACCUUUGCCAGGAAAUGCAAAUUAUCCUUAGAGUCCCACAAAUUAAAGAAGCAACACAGUGCUGUGCUAUUGAACAUGCUGCCACCACAAAAGCCUCUGUGUUUCCCAGAAUGUGUCUCUGUACUUAGUCAUUUAUUCGCGAGAACCUGCUAGUUGCCAGCCGCUAUACUUGGCUCUCAAGACACAGACCCUUGGCCAAGGCUCCUUCCUAGGGAAGCCUGUGGCCCAGAGAAGGAACAGUCUAUCCUUGAUUGCCAUGAGCCUCAGUCCGUGUCCCUACAAACCCACGCUGUGCUUCAGAAGCAAAGACCGUGGGGACGGAGCCAGGAGAUUGGUUCCAAAUUCUAGUCACAACAAAGCUAAGCCAGCGAGUGCUUUGUUCAAAUGACUCAGGUGGAUAAAUGAGGCCAGCACAGGCCGUCCUGAUACCACACACCUCUAGAACGCCCUGGCUGUGCUAGGAGCUACUGAUGUCACUGGGUAUUUUCAUCCCUUCCCAAGAUGCAGCGUUCUGUGUCAGCUUUGCGGAUGUUGCUAAGGGGAGGCCAGUUUUGCUGCACCCGAGCUCCCUUAGAUGACAAUCUGCAUGCUCUUCCUGCUCUGGUGGCACUUGGCUCUUGCCAGCCCUCUGCACUGCUUUACUCACUUCAAGCCUCCCUUCACUUUUUGUUUUCUUCUUGAAGUUCCAUUUUCUGCAUUGCUGACUAGAGAAGGAAAGGAGCCGUACACGGAGCCACAACCCCCAACUAUACCAACUGGAGAAAGAGAGACUCCCCUGAAGCAUAAGCUCCACCUAUACCAAUUAGAGGAACAGAUGUGUAGACAACAAGGUAAGAACACACUCAACAAUAUAAAAAUCAAUAUGGCACCAUUAGAAACUAGUGGUGCUACAACAGCAAGACCUGAACAUCCCAACACAGGUGAAGUAGAAGAAAAUUACCUAAAAAAUAACUUUAUGAGGAUGAUUGAGGCCCUUAAAGAGGAAAUGAAAAAUGCCCUUAAGGAAAUAGAAGAAAAGACAAAUAAAAUAUUGGAAGAUAUUAACAAAUUCCUUAAAGAAAACCAAGAAAAAGCAAUCAAACAAGUGAAGGAAAUGAUUCAAGACAUGAAAUCCGAAAUAAAGGCACUAAAGAACACAUAAACUAAGGGAAUUCUGGAAAUGGAAAAUCUAGGUAAAAAAUCAGGAACUAUAGAUGCAAGCAUCACCAACAGAAUACAAGAGGUGGAAGAAAGAAUUUCAGGCAUUGAAGAUAACUUCAAUGGAUUAAAUAGAUUCAUUGGUCAAAGAAAAUUUUAAAACCAAAAAUUCUUAACACAAAACAUGCAGGAAAUCUGGGACACCAUGAAAAGACCUAACCUAAGAAAAAUAGGGAUACAAAAAGGAUAAGUACAACUCAAAGGCACAGAAAAUAUACUCAACACAAUCAUAGAAGAAAACUUUCCCAACCUCAAGAAGGACAUGCCUAUGAAAGUACAAGAGACUAACAGAACACCAAAUAGACUGGACCACAAAAAAAGUUCCCUUCUCACAUAAUAAUCAAAACAAUAAACAUAUAGAAUAAAGAAAGAAUAUUAAGAGCUGCAAAGGAGAAAGGCCAGAUAACAUAUAAAGGCAGUCCUAUCAGAAUUGCACCUGACUUCUCAACAGAAACAAUGAAAGUCAGAAAGUCCUGGUUAGAUGUUAUGCAGACACUAAGGGAUCAUGGAUGCCAGCCCAGACUACUUUACCCAGCAAAGCUUUCAAUAACCAUAGAUGGACAAAACAAGAUAUUCCAUAAUAAAACCAAAUUUUAACAAUACCUAUCCACAAACCUAGUCCGACAAAAAAUACUAAAAGGAAAAUGCCAACACAAGGAAAUCACCUAUGUCCACAAGAACACAGGAUAUAGAUGAGCUUACAGCAGCAAAUCCCAAAGAAAGGAAUUGAACACACAAUGCCAUCACCAAUAACAAAAACAAAAAUCACAGGAACUAGCAAUCACUGGUCGUUAAUAUCCAUUAAUAUAAAUGGUCUCAAUUCAUCUAUAAAAAGACACAGGGUAACAGAUUGGAUAUGAAAACAGAAUCCAUCUUUCUGCUGCAUACAAGAAACACAACUCAAACUCACAGACAGAUAUUACCUCAGAGUAAAGUGUUGGGAAAAAUUUUCUAAUCAAAUGGACCUAAGAAACAAGCUGGUAUAGCUAUCCAAAUAUCUAACAAAAUAGUCUUCAAACUAAAAUCAAUCAGAAAAGAUAAAGAAGGGCAUUUCAUCUUCCUCAAAGGAAAAAUCAAUCAAGAGGAAACCUCAGUUCUGAACAUCUAUGCCCCAAAUACAAGGGCUCCUGCAUUUGUAGAAGAAACAUUAUUAAAGCUUGAAUCACAAAUCAGAACCCACACACUAAUAGUGGGAGAUUUCAACACCCCACUCUCACCACUGGACAGAUCUGCCAGACAGAAGCUUAACAGAAAAUUAAGGGAACUAACAUAUGUUGUAACUCAAAUGGACUUAACAGACAUCUAUAGAACAUUCCACCCAAACACAGAAGAACAUACUUUCUUUUCAGCACCUCAUGGAACAUUCUCAAAAAUAGACCACAUACUUGAUAACAAAGCAAACCUCAACAGAUUAAAAAAAAUGGAAUAAACACCUGUACCCUAUCAGAUCACUACAGCUUAAAGUUAGAAUUCAACAGCAAUAUUAAUUUCAGAAAGCCCACAAACACAAGGAAAUUGAACAAUGAUAAAAUGAACCACCAUUGGGUCAAGGAAGAAAUAAAGAAAGAAAAGACUUUCUAAAGUUUAAAGAAAAUGACCUCACAACAUGCCUAAACUUAUGGGACACAAUGAAAGCAGUGCUAAUAGGAAAGUUCACAGCACCAAAUGCCUACAUAAAGAAGCUAGAAAAACUCCAUACUAGUGAAUUAAUGGAACAACUAAAAGUGCUAGAACAAAAAGAAGCAAACUCACCCAAGAAAUAGUCAAACUGAGGGCUGAAUUCAAUAAAAUAGAAACAAAGAAAAAAUGCAAAGAAUCAAUGAGACAAAGAGUUGGUUCUUUAAGAAAUUCAACAAGAUAGACAAACUUUUAUCCAAACUAACCAAAAGGCAGAGAGAGAAUAUCCAAAUUAACGAAAUCAGAAAUGAAAAGGGGGGCAUAACAACAGACACUGAGGAAAUUCAGAGAAUCAUCAGGUCAUACUUCAAAAACCUGUACUCCACAAAAUUGGAAAACUUUAAGGAGAUGAAAAUUUUCUAGGCAAGUGCCACAUACCAAAAUGAAAUCAAGAACAGUUAAACAACUUAAAUACACCUGUAACUCCUAAGGAAAUGGAAACAGUUAUCAAUAGUCUCCCAACCAAAAAAAGCUCAGGUCCAGAUGGAUUCAGUGCAGAAUUCUACCAGAUGUUCAAAGAAGGUGUAAUGCCAAUACACCUCAAAUUAUUCCAUACAAUAGAAACAGAAGAAACAUUGUCAAACUCUUUUUAUGAGGCUACAGUUACCCUGAAACCCAAACCACACAAAGACACAAUGAAGAAAAAGAAUUACAGAGCAAUUUCCCUCAUGAACAUAGAUGCAAAAAAUACUCAAUAAAAUACCAGCAAACCAAAUUCAAGAACACAGAAAAAUCAUCUACCAUGACCAAGAAAGAUUCAUCCCAGAGAUUCAGGGAUGGUUCAACAUACAGAAAUCCAUCAAUGUAAUCUACCAUAUAAACAAACUGAAAGGAAAAAAACCACAUAAUCAUCUCACUAGAUGCUGAAAAAGCCUUUGACAAAAUUCAACACCCCUUCAUGAAAAAGGUGUUAGAGAGAAUAGGGAUACAAGGAACAUAUCUAAACAUAAUAAAGGCAAUAUACAGUAACCCAACAGCAAACAGCAAACUAAAUAGAGAGACACACAAAGCAAUCCCACUGAAAUCAGGAACAAGACUACGCUGUCCACUCUCUCCAUAUCUAUUCAACAUAGUACUUGAAGUUCUAGCUAUAGCAAUAAGACAACAAAAAGAGAUCAAGGGAUACAAAUUGGAAAAGAAGAAGUCAAACUCUUGCUAUUUGCUGAUGAUAUGAUAGUAUAUCAUAUUCUACCAGAGAACACCUACAACUAAUAAACACCUUUAGUAAUAUAGCAGGAUACAAGAUUAACUUAAAAAAUCUGUAGCCCUCCUAUAUAUAGAUUACGAAGUGGCUGAGAAGGAAAUCAGAGAAACAUCACCCUUUACAAUAGCCACAAAUAACAUGAAAUAUCUUGGGGUAGCUCUAACCAAACAAGUGAAAGACCUGUAUAGCAAGAACUUCAAGUCUUUAAAGAAAGAAAUUAAAGAAGAUAUCAGAAAAUAAAAAGAUCUCCCAUGCUCGUGGACAGAUAGGAUCAAUAUAGUGAAAAAAAAAAAAACAAUCCUACCAAAAGUAAUCUACAGAUUCAACACACUACCCAUCAAAAUCUUAGCACAAUUCUUCACAGACCUGGAAAGAACAACACUCAACUUCGUAUGGAAAAACAGAAAACCCAGGAUAGCCAAAACAAUCCUGUACAAUAAAGGAUCAUCUGGGGGCAUCACAAUCCGUGACUUCAAGAUCUACUUUAGAGCUAUAGUAAUGAAAACAGCUUAGUAUUAGCAUAAAAACAGACAGUUAGACCAAUGGAAUCAAAUCAAAGGCCUCCGAUAUCAACCCACACACCUAUGAACACCUAAUUUUUGACAAAGAAGCUAAAAAUAUAAAAUGGAAAAAAAACAUAUUAAACAAAUGCUGUUGGUAUAAUUGGCUGUCAACAUGUAGAAGAAUACAAAUAAAUCCAUAUCUGUCACCACGCACAAAACUCAACCCAAAAUGGAUCAAAGACCUCAAUUUAAAUCCAUUCACACUGAACCUCAUAGAAGAGAAAGUGGGAAAUGCCCUUGAAUGAAUAAGCAGAGGAGAUCACUUCCUAAAUAAAACACCAGUAGCACAGACACUGAGAGCAACAAUUAAUAAAUGGGACCUGCUGAAUCUGAGAAGCUUCCAUAAAGCAAACAACAUGGUCAACAAGACAGAAUGGCUCCCUAUAGAAUGGGAAAAGAUCUUCACCAACCCCACAUCUGACAGAAGGCUGAUCUUCAAAAUAUACAAAGAACUUAAGAAACUAGACAUCAAACUACCAAAUAAUCCAAGUAAAAACAGGGUACAGAUCUAAGCAGAGAAUUCUCAGCAGAACAAUCUCAAAAUACACCCAAGGAAAUGCUCAACAUCCUCAGUCAUCAGAGAAAUGCAAAUCUAAACCACUCGGAGAUUCCAUUUUAUACCGGUAAAAAUGAUUAAGAUCAAAAACACCAAUGACAGGGUAUGCUGGAGAGGAUGUAAAGAAAGGGGAACACUCCCCCAUUGCUGUGGGAGUGCAAACUUGUACAUACUUGGAAAUCAGUAUGGCAAUUUCACAGAAAAUUAGGAAUCAACAUACCUUAAGACCCUGCAAUACCACUCUGGGGCAUAUAACCAAAGAAAGCACACUCACACCACAACUAUGUUGAUAGCAACAUUAUUCAUUAUAGCCAGAUCUUGGAAACAAUCUAGAUGCCCCUCAACUGAAGAAUGGAUAAAGAAAAUAUGGUACAUUUACACAAUAGAGUACCACUCAUCGGUAAGAAACAAUGACAUCCUAACAGAACUAGCAAAAACAAAAAAAACAAAACAACCUGAGUGAGGUAACCCAGGCCCAGAAAGACAAAUAUUGUGUGUACUCACUCAUAAGUGGAUACCAGACAUAAAGCAAAAGAUACCCAGAGAAGUAUAUAAUCCACAACCCCAGAGAAGUUAGAACCCUCUUCCAGAAACAAAUGGAAGCAGAUGUAGAAAUCGACAACUAACCAAAGGGCCAAGCUCCGGGACUACAAUCAAAGUGAGGAAAGAGCAAUAAUAUGGACAAAGGAGUCAAGACCAUAAUGGGGAAACCCACAAAAUCAGCUGACUGGAGCUAGUGAGAGAUCGCUGACUCAGGACUGACAAAUGGGGAACCUGAAUGAAGCUGAACUAGACUCCCCAAAUAUAGGUGAUAAUGGUGUGACUGGAAUAUAUGAGGCCACUGGCAGUAGGUCCACAAUCUAACACUAGGACACAAACUAACUUAAUGGAGCCCAUUUUAUAUGGAGAGAUACCCUGCUCAGCCUAGACACAGAGGUGGAGAGGUGUCAUGGUCCUGCCUCAAUGAGAUGAUGGGACAAACUUAGUAGACUUCCUAGGGGAGGUGAG